UAACAAUAUAAAAUUAAGGAGAAUAAGCAUUCUCCUACACGACUACACGGGUUUUACGACCCCUCACUGUAAGGGUUGGUCCCACAUGAAUAAUAAUAAUAAUAAUAAUAAUAAUAAUAAUAAUAAUAAUAAUAAUAAUAAUAAUAAAUUUGCGUCGGGCCCACGCUUAGUGUUGUCUGGCACGAGUCCGUAAAUACGCCCAGCACGGUUCUAAAAUUAAUUUGUGGUUUUGUUGUUAUUCAAUAAUACUGCUUCAGACACUAUGUUACAAAAUUUGUAAUCUAAGUGAUAGUAGACUAUUCUGUACAAAAGAGAUUUUACACAACAAUUUUGUUAGUGUAAUUUCCAUGGAAGACACUGGAGAUUGGAGCAAGACCCGAUCCAUGAAUUUGUACGUUCUCCACCACCAAUGGAGCUUUCUCCACCGUCGCAACACCGGCAGACCAGCCCAAGAGUUGAAAAAGCCUUCGUGUGUUUCACUAAUCAAAUUUAAGAAUUACCUUGAUUACUCCCAAAAAAAAAAAAAGAACAAAUUUUAAGGAUUAACUUGAUUACUGUAAAAUGAACAAGACCCACAAAUGAAUUAAAGAGAAGGCAAAGAAAGUAGACACAACUAAGUGGAGGUGUCAAAUUGUUUGGAUCAAUACAAAAUUGUUCUUACCUUGCUGAGGAGAUAGGAAGGGGGUUGGCACUGUCCUGGCUUCGGUGCUGCUGCUUUCUUGAUAUGCAGAACUGAUUAUAGACAAAAGCAAAACGAGUAUUGGAGUUGACUUAAACGAACCCAUUUAUGGAUGUUCCUUUUGGUUUAACGUAAAUUUGUAAUAGAAUUG
rnacentral:lncRNA from 1 species